GAUGAACGCUGGCGGCGUUCCUCAUCCAUGCAAGUCGAGCGCAGCGGGGACGGGGGAGUAACACGUGGAUAACCUCCUCUAAGCCUUGGAUAACUUCGGGAAACCGUAGCUAAACCGGAUAAUUAUCGAUGGCUCCUCGCUGCAUUGGCUAGUUGGUAAGGUAACGGCUUACCAAGGCAAAGAUGCAUAGCCGACCUGAGAGGGGGAUCGGCCACACGGGAACGUAGACACGGUCCAGACUCCUACGGGAGGCAGCAGUAGGGAAUCUUCCGCAAUGGGCGAAAGCCUGACGGAGCAACGCAGCUGGAGUGAUGAAGGUCUUCGGAUCGUAAAACUCUGUUAUUAGGGAAGCGGUACCUAAUCAGAAAGCCACGGCUAACCUCGUGCCAGCAGCCGCGGUAAUAC
rnacentral:rRNA from 1 species